rnacentral:rRNA from 1 species
UACGUAGGCAGCGAGCGUUGUUCGGAGUUACUGGGCGUAAAGAGUGCGUAGGCGGUUUUCUAAGUUUGGUGUGAAAUCUCCCGGCUUAACUGGGAGGGUGCGCCGAAGACUGGAAGGCUAGAGUAUGGGAGAGGUAAGCGGAAUUCCUGGUGUAGCGGUGAAAUGCGUAGAUAUCUGGAGGAAUACCGGUGGCGAAGGCGGCAUCCUGGACCAUUACUGACGCUGAGGCGCGAAAGCUAGGGGAGCAAACGGG